rnacentral:rRNA from 1 species
CUUUGCUGCUGCCCUAUUUAGCCCUCCUGCGCCCGCGUGUCAGCUGCAGUCUGGAGGAAUCUGAGCCUGCCGCUGCCCUGCCCCUGCUGCACCUGAGGGAGACUGUAGAGAAGGCAGGGGAGGGGAGGGGAGGGGAGGGAGGAGGGAGGCAACCGCAGCAGAGGCGCAUACACACAGACGGACCGCUUCGUCCUCGCCCGCCCGCCCCUGUCCGUCCUCGCUCGGUUUGGAGGGAUCUGCUGCCGCGCCUGCGCCGCUUUCAGAGGUGAGUGACUAGUCGACGGACGGAUGGAUGAAUCGCGGUGCUGUCGGUCGGGGCUUCGCUUUCGUGCGUUCUUUCGUUGCUUUUCCUCUGCGGCAGCGCCCGUCUCUGACCCCAAAAUUCUCUCUUUCUUUCUCUUGUGCCUUUCGCCCAGCCUUUCUCAGCGAGCGAGCUCUGCUCUGAUGGUCGUGGUGGCGGCGGCGGCGGCGGUGGAAAAGUUUCUGGUGGUAGUGGUGGUGGGGGGUGGUGGGGGGACGGCCUAAUUCUGGUGGGAUUAUUUGCUUUGCACUGCUGUGACGGGCGGUGCAGUGAGUGGAGGAGGCGGGACAGGAGGAGGAGGAGGGGAUGAUUACGUUCGUGGACUCGGCGGCGGGGGAGCGGGAGAGGGGGGAGGGGCCGCGCUGCCUGGACCCGCAGCUGUGGCACGCCUGCGCCGGCGGCAUGGUGCAGAUGCCACCGCCCGGCUCCAGGGUCUACUACUUCCCGCAGGGCCACGCGGAGCACGCGCAGGGCCAGGCCGGCGCCGUCGACUUCCCGCCGGGGGCCCGCCUCCAGGCGCUCGUCCUCUGCCGCGUCGCCGCCGUCCGCUUCAUGGCCGAUCCGGACACCGAUGAGGUCUUCGCCAAGAUCCGCCUCGUCCCCGCCCGGCCCCAGGACGACGCCGACGACGCCAUUGCCGCCGCCGCCGCCGGGCAGGAGGACAAGCCCGCCUCCUUCGCCAAGACGCUCACGCAGUCCGACGCCAACAACGGCGGCGGCUUCUCGGUGCCGCGCUACUGCGCCGAGACCAUCUUCCCGCGGCUCGACUACUCCGCCGACCCGCCCGUCCAGACCGUGCUCGCCAAGGACGUGCACGGCGUCGUCUGGAAGUUCCGCCACAUCUACCGCGGCACGCCCCGCCGCCACCUCCUCACCACGGGGUGGAGCUCCUUCGUCAAUCAGAAGAAGCUCGUCGCCGGGGACUCCAUCGUCUUCAUGAGGACCGAGAACGGGGAUCUCUGCGUCGGCAUCCGCCGCGCCAAGAAGGGGGGCAUCGGCGGCCCGGAGCUGCUGCCCCCGCCCCCGCCGGCGGCGACCGGCAAUUACGGGGGAUUCUCCAUGUUCCUGAGGGGGGAGGAGGACGGCGGCAACAAGAUGAUGGGGGCGAGGGGGAAGGUGAAGGUGAGGGUGCGGCCGGAGGAGGUCGCCGAGGCGGCCAAUCUUGCCGCCAGCGGGCAGCCGUUCGACGUGCUCUACUACCCGAGGGCGAGCACGCCGGAGUUCUGCGUGAGGGCGGCCGCGGUCAGGGCGGCGAUGCGCACCCAGUGGUGCCCCGGCAUGAGGUUCAAGAUGGCCUUCGAGACGGAGGACUCGUCCAGGAUCAGCUGGUUCAUGGGGACUGUGUCGGCCGUGCAGGUGGCCGACCCCAUUCGAUGGCCCAAUUCACCUUGGAGACUUCUUCAGGUGACUUGGGAUGAACCGGACCUGCUACAGAAUGUGAAGAGGGUGAGUCCAUGGCUGGUUGAGCUGGUCUCAAACAUGCCGGCCAUUCACCUCGCUCCGUUCUCGCCGCCUCGGAAGAAGCUCUGUGUUCCGUUCUACCCCGACCUCCCGGUCGACGGCCAGUUUCCGGCCCCGAUGUUCCACGGAAACCCACUCGGACGCGGCGGCGUCGGUCCGAUGUGCUAUUUCCCGGACGGCACUCCUGCAGGCAUACAGGGAGCCAGGCAUGCUCAAUUUGGUAUAUCUUUAUCAGAUCUCCACCUUAACAAACUGCAGUCGAGUCUGUCACCGCACGGGCUUCACCAGGUCGAUCACGGCGGGCAGCCGAGGAUCGCCGCUGGGCUCAUCAUCGGUCACCCGGCUGCGCGAGACGACAUCUCGUGCAUGCUGACCAUUGGCAAUCACCAGAGCAACAACAAGUCAGAUGUCAAGAAGGCUUCACCCCAGCUGAUGCUCUUUGGGAAACCCAUACUCACUGAGCAGCAGAUCACUUUAGGCAACUCUGGGGGUUUCUCUCCAUCUGCUGCUAGGAAGAGCUCCUCUGAAAUGAGUGCCGAGAAGUCGGCGAAUAACUCUGAUCUUCCAAGCCCACAAAGCAACCAGAAUGGCACUACGAAGAACUUGUCCUGUCGAGGAGUUCCAUUGUGCCAGGACAACAAGGUACUUGAUCUCGGGCUGGAUACCGGGCACUGCAAGAUAUUCAUGCAAUCAGAGGACGUCGGGCGCACACUUGAUCUCACUGCUGUUGGCUCGUACGAAGAGUUAUAUCGCCGGCUUUCCGACAUGUUCGGUAUGGAAAAAGCCGAGCUGAUGAGCCAUGUUUUCUACCGUGAUGCAGCCGGGGCGCUCAAACACACCGGAGAUGAACCUUUCAGUGACUUCACGAAGACGGCGCGUAGGCUGACCAUACUAACGGACACGAGCGGCGACAGCAGCGUAGCGAGCUAGGAGGAAUGAGGAAGGGGAAGCUCUUUCUCCACUUGUAUGCUCAGCCGGGACGAGCGCAGCGGCACAGCACGGUGGCGAUUCUCAGAGCGCAUAGAUAGCGUGGUGGCGGCAAAUUCCGCAGCCUGGAUGCAAGUCAAGAAGCACCACCGCUGCAGGCAGCUUCAGUUUUUCUCCAAUUGUUAGAGAGCUCCCAGAAUGGGACGGGGUGAUUGUUUGUGUGGUGAUCCAUGAACAGUUUUUCCUUCUUUUUUUUCGUUGUGUUGGCUACCACCCAUUAUGAUGAUGUUAGCAGUAACUCUGGCUCAGAAUCCAUGGCGGUUCCUUGCUGAAAGUCCUGGGAAGAAUGAAUGUCUGAAUCUUCUUUUGUUCUG